AACGAACGCUGGCGGCAGGCUUAACACAUGCAAGUCGAGCGCCCCGCAAGGGGAGCGGCAGCCGGGUGAGUAACGCGUGGGAAUCUACCCAUCUCUACGGAAUAACGCAUGGAAACGUUUGCUAAUACCGUAUACGUCCUUCGGGCGAAAGAUUUAUCGGAGAUGGAUGAGCCCGCGUUGGAUUAGCUAGUUGGUGGGGUAAAGGCCUACCAAGGCGACGAUCCAUAGCUGGUCUGAGAGGAUGAUCAGCCACACUGGGACUGAGACACGGCCCAGACUGCUACGGGAGGCAGCAGUGGGGAAUAUUGGACAAUGGGCGCAAGCAUGAUCCAGCAAUGCAGCGUGAGUGACGAAGGCAGUAGGGUUGUAAAGCUCUUUAACCGGUGAAGAUAAUGACGGUAACCGGAGAAGAAGCCCCGGCUAACUUCGUGCCAGCCGCCGCAGUAACAC
rnacentral:rRNA from 1 species